UGAGACCACUGGUUGAGAACAACAUCUUUGAUUCCAUGACUGUCAUUCGAUACUAAAUCCCUGUUUGAUGGUACAUCCAUGAAUCAAGCUUGCCCCAGUCUUGUAAAGACUUGUGUAUCAGUUCUUAAGAGUUGCCAAAUGGGACUUUGAAAGAAGUUGAACUUGGAGCCAUACUUUGAGCACUCCUUUUCAUCCUGGUGGGCCCUUCUGAGUUAUGUCACCUACAAAGAAACACAACCAUAUGUUACAAAAUGUAGAAGAAUAUUCUAUGCUGCAGGCAGCCACCAUCUGAAAAACAGCUUUAGAUGAAGUAAGGCUCAAAUUAUACGAAAGGAAAGCAUGUGGAUUUAUGAAAUGUACAGUCGAACCAAUCAUCAGCCGACCACCCUGAGAUAAAAAGAUGUAUUCAAAGCACUAGAUUGGAGGUGUUGCGUUUUAAUCAACAUACUCACCAGGCAACCAGCAGAUUACA